UCCUAAGAUAGCAACAUAGUUUAACAUUUUUCAAACAACAAAAUACAGAUCACGUUUAACCAACCUUUGAAGAGGAAGUUGGCUGUUAUUGAAAUGAAGAGCACCUACGUAUUUCUGAUGUUUGGUUUCCUGGUUUUCAUACCAAAUACAGAGAGUUUUGGAGUGAUGAUGAUGAUGUGUCAUAAACAAUGCCAAACAAGAUUUACGAAAUGCGUCAACAGCUGUGACUUUGUUUAUGCAAUAGCAAAUAUGGAUGAAGAGGACGACUGUUUCGAUAACUGCAUAUCUAAUUUGGAGGCAUGUCCACAUAGCUGCAGCAAUGCAAUAAAACGGUCAUUGCUAUAAAUGUUUUUGGUCUAAAGCUAAUAAAUAAUCUGUAAAGAUUACAUAUGUAUUAGGGUAUAUUAAUGGUGCUUUUUAGAUCUAAUUGAUUAAAAGUGUAAUUCACCUUAUAAUUCAAAAUACUGAAAAAAAUAAGUUUAUAUGCAAUAAUCUGUAAAAUAUGAAAGUGAAUUUAAAAUAUACACUAUUAAACCA